GGCAGUUCUCAGGUGACUCACCCUGGAAUCAGGCUUUCUCUCUCUGGUUCUGGGUGCAUCACCGGAGAACCACU
rfam:Myotis lucifugus cont2.42910, whole genome shotgun sequence.